CCAACGUUCACCUAAAAGAGUCGGCUCAAAGAAUCGACUCGUUCGCAUCAGUACAUGGCAUGACUAGCCUUUAAUACUGACCGUGACUAAAACAGUUAGCUGUUGUGAAUUUAAGUUCAUAAAAUGAAGAAAAUUCACUUAAAAUAUUGAAACUGACAAUAUUUAGCAGCUAGUUAGGGUUACUUCAGCUAGCUGUGGCGCUAACUCCUCAGCCCAGAGAAAUAAAGAAAGGACAUGAAUGGAGGCGGAUCGAUUUGUAUUUUACUGUAAAACCGAACUUGCUUUUCUCAAAUUCAAAACAAAAAAAAAAUACUUCAGCAUAUUUACAACAGCAGUGUUGAUGGAAGCACC